ACCGGAUGGAAAUAAUAAAGGUUGCAUUUUCCUUAGUUUAUAGCCUACCCAACGCACACAAGUCAAAUUGCUUGCAAAAGAAAUUUCCACGUUUGCAAGUGCCAAUGAUUGUGCGAAGACUAUUGCCUCUUUUGGCAUGUAGUCAUCUUAGUACUCUUUACUGCAUUCUUCAACUUUGUGAAAUUGCAGUGAGUCGGUAGGCUACAACAUAUUAAUGUAGUUGCUAGGUAGCUUUAUAGGAUGAACGUGAUUAGCUUGAUGAUAUAAACUAAGACUUGUUUUACCAUAUUUAAAUAAAACUUUGAUAUCAAUCGAUAAUUCUACUGAAACGGAAA